UGAGGAAUAUUGGGCAAUGCCCGCAAGGGUGACCCAGCAACGCCGUGUGGAGGAUGAAAGCCGUAAGGUUGUAAACUCCUGUGAGGAGGGAUGAAUGAUAUGAUUUCGUAAGGGAUCAUAUUUGACCGUACCUCCAGAGGAAGCCCCGGCUAACUACGUGCC
rnacentral:rRNA from 1 species